GUUGAGUGGUCAAAGUUAAGUUUUUGAGUUUUGGUCUUUUUAUCUAAUACUAUAUGCCAUAGGUCAACUAUAUUUGGUGUAUGGAAAUAUUUUAUGAUCUAUAUGUCAGUCGCGCAGGUUUUAUUUGACCUCGACCUCAUUUUCACGGUUCAUUGCUCAGUGUUAAGUUCUUGUGUUUUGGUCUAUUUUUUUAAAACUAUAAGUAAUAGGUCAACUAUAUUUUGUUGUAUGGAAGCAUUGUUAGCUGUACAUGUCUGCCUGGCAUGGUUCAUCUGACCUUGACCUCAUUUUUAUGGUUCAUUGCUCUUUGUUUAGUUAUCUUGGGUUAAUGUUAAGUUUAUGUGACAGUUUUUAAUAAAGCUUUAUACUUAGGACUAUCAACAUAAUAUCAAUGAUAAGUAAAGAAGGCGAGACAUUUCAGUGUGUGCACUCUUGUGAAUUUACGAAUUAUGUUAAUCAUGUAAAUAAUGUUAUGUUUUUUGUUUUUUGCUUUUUGAAGUUUUUAAAAUUGACAAAUAAUGCUAGCAGGGGAGAUUAUUCAUUAAUAUUUUUAUGAUGCCAAACUUGAAAUUUAGAGGUGCCUAUGUUUGCUAUUU
rnacentral:lncRNA from 1 species